rnacentral:rRNA from 7 species
GUUGACCUCGGAUCAGGUAGGGAUACCCGCUGAACUUAAGCAUAUCAAUAAGCGGAGGAAA